UUAUCAUAUAAAUAUCAUAUAAAAAUGAUGACUUUAAUAAUCAUUAUGUCAUAAUGACUUACCAUGGCAUUAUUUUUAUUCCAUUUUUUCCGUUUUCUUUUUCACUGGCGGGUAUGGGGUGACAUGGGCUGACAUGAAUUCAUCCAAUGAGGAUCGAGUGUGUUCAACGGUCCUGCUUUGAAUGGCCAAUCACGUCAAAGUGAACGGGACAAAUCGCAAUCACAGCGCUUGCAUCUCUGGCUCCGACAACAACUUUUCUCAUAAGACCUUGUCUUGUAUUGUGUGUUUUUUUGUUGUCUUUCUAUGUGUUUGCGUCGUCUGUGUUCAUUUGUUUCACUUUGGCUGCGAAAACGGCACCGAGAGAGCGCUGUUUUUCGAUCGCGAGAGAGAGGGCAGACAGAGCUAGCUACUGGUAACGUUAACUGUUAGCUAGCUUGUGAUAGCAGUAACUUUAACUGACCAGAUUCUCUUUUUUUUAAACUUACUGAAGCCACAAAAUGGUAUAUGACACAUGUAGUACUUGCUGCGACAGUACGAUGGUCGUUACUGUGUCGUUAUUUUAUAUUUUUAUGCUGCGCAAGAGAAGAGUAUUUUCCCGCCUUUCUGUUUUUCAACACCUUCUCCGCCUCCGUAUGCGUUUUCCUUCCGGAGGCAGCACCACCAAGCACACGUCGCGACGUCCAGAAACUCGGAGAGACAAUCCUGACUGCAAAAAAAUGGAUGCUGUCGAUCGAGGGGAGGGUCAUAAUCCCACCUGCUGCUCACGUGGCUGACUUCACCACUGCCUUGGCUGGCCACUCUCUUCGCCUGUUACUAUGUUUUCAACCUAGAGUAUCAGGGGGAAACCUGCACAACUUUGGAGUUUAUUCAGAGGAUUAAUCCUGACUCCACCAAGUGCAGUGCCAAGGAGCAGAUGAGCCGGAAGACUGGGAGAGUGGUGAGGAGGAAGACUUGAUACAUGAACCCCCAUGUGAUCUCCUUCAUCAUGGAGUUCAUGAAGGCUUCACUUCAUGGAGGCUAACUGACUAGAUACAGGGCUCCUGUUUUGUCCAAGCCCAAGGAAGUUUUGUCUAAAAGGUUUGGUAAUGUGCUUUAUGUUCCUGUUCACAAAAAAAUAAAUAACCCUGUUAACAAAU